GAUGAACGCUAGCUACAGGCUUAACACAUGCAAGUCGAGGGGAAGCGGCAUCGACAGCUUGCUUUUGAUGGGCGUCGACCGGCGCACGGGAGAGUAACGCGUAUCCACUCUGCGCAUCACUUGGGAAUAACCUUGCGAAGGUAAGACUAAUGAACAAUGACAUCCCACUAAGGCAUCCGAAAGGGAAUAAAGUUUUAUCGGUUAUGGAUGGGGAUGCGUCUGAUUAGCUAGUUGGCGGGGUGACGGCUCACCAAGGCAACGAUCAGUAGGGGUUCUGAGAGGAAGGUCCCCCACAUUGGAACUGAGACACGGUCCAAACUCCUACGGGAGGCAGCAGUGAGGAAUAUUAGUCAAUGGGCGAGAGCCUGAACCAGCCAAGUAGCGUGCAGGAUGACGGCCCUAUGGGUUGUAAACUGCUUUUAUAAGGGAAUAAAGUGGGUCACGUGUGACUUUUUGCAUGUACCUUAUGAAUAAGGACCGGCUAAUUCCGUG
rnacentral:rRNA from 1 species